rnacentral:rRNA from 1 species
UAGGGAAUCUUCCGCAAUGGACGAAAGUCUGACGGAGCAACGCCGCGUGAGUGAAGAAGGUUUUCGGAUCGUAAAACUCUGUUGUCAGAGAAGAACACGUUGGAGAGUAACUGCUCCAGCCUUGACGGUAUCUGACCAGAGAGCCACGGCUAACUACGUGCCAGCAGCCGCGGUAAUACGUAGGUGGCAAGCGUUGUCCGGAUUUAUUGGGCGUAAAGCGAGCGAAGGCGGUUCCUUAAGUCUGAUGUGAAAGCCCACGGCUCAACCGUGGAAGGUCAUUGGAAACUGGGGAACUUGAGUGCAGAAGAGGAGAGUGGAAUUCCACGUGUGGCGGUGAAAUGCGUAGAGAUGUGGAGGAACACCAGUGGCGAAGGCGACUCUCUGGUCUGUAACUGACGCUGAGGAGCGAAAGCGUGGGGAGCAAACA